rnacentral:rRNA from 1 species
AAGCGUGACGAUGCUAGUUUGAAGACUGUUCGUGUGGCCAGUCGGCGACCUGUUUGGAAACUGUGACUAUAUGAAGAAGUGUUCGAUUCGCGGUAUGAUUGGCUUCGGCUGGACUACGUUUAUUGGAUGUGUUUUCGGUUAUGGUAGUACGAACGGGUGAACCGUAGCUAUGCAUGUGACUGGUUUUCUUACCUGUGUUGUUGCUGCGAAGUAAAGCGUCAACUUCGGUUGUUGAGGGUCAACCUAUUUGGGAAAUGUGAAGUAAAGCUUCGGCUGCACCUUACCUCAAACGGACCUGAUAUUAGGCAAGAUUACCCGCUGAACUUAAGCAUAUCAAUAAGCGGAGGA